UAGGGAAUCUUCGGCAAUGGACGAAAGUCUGACCGAGCAACGCCGCGUGAGUGAAGAAGGUUUUCGGAUCGUAAAACUCUGUUGUUAGAGAAGAACAAGGACGUUAGUAACUUAACGUCCCCUGACGGUAUCUAACCAGAAAGCCACGGCUAACUACGUGCCAGCAGCCGCGGUAAUACGUAGGUGGCAAGCGUUGUCCGGAUUUAUUGGGCGUAAAGCGAGCGCAGGCGGUUUCUUAAGUCUGAUGUGAAAGCCCCCGGCUCAACCGGGUGGGGUCAUUGGAAACUGGGAGACUAGAGUGCAGAAGAGGAGAGUGGAAUUCCAUGUGUAGCGGUGAAAUGCGUAGAUAUAUGGAGGAACACCAGUGGCGAAGGCGGCUCGCUGGUCUGUAACUGACGCUGAGGCUCGAAAGCGUGGGGAGCAAACAGG
rnacentral:rRNA from 1 species